UUUCGCAAUGCCCGAAAGGGUGACGAAGCGACGCCGCGUGCGGGGAGAAGGCCUUCGGGUUGUAAACCGCUGUCGGGAGUUAGGAAAUGCAAGGAUGUUAAUAGCGUCCUUGCUUGACUAAGGCUCCGGAGGAAGCCACGGCUAACUCUGUACCAGCAGCCGCGGUAAUACAGAGGCGGCAAGCGUUGUUCGGAAUUAUUGGGCGUAAAGGGCUCGUAGGCGGACCGGUGUGUCUGGCGUGAAAUCUCCACUGCUUAACAGGGAGGGGCCGCUGGAAACUGCCGAUCUUGAGUAUGGUAGAGGACCAUGGAAUUCCGGGUGUAGCGGUGGAAUGCGUAAAUAUCCGGAAGAACACCGGUGGCGAAGGCGGUGGUCUGGACCAAAACUGACGCUGAGGAGCGAAAGCUAGGGGAGCAAACGGGAUUAGAUACCCCGGUAGUCCUAGCCCUAAACGAUGGGCACUAAGUAGAGGGGUUUU
rnacentral:rRNA from 1 species